AUAAUACUCCAUAGAUUAGAGACACUGGAAUGUUCUUUAGUCGAAAGUUCUGGCGCCUUAGGAUGGAUCUGCGGUCGAUUAGGUUGUUGUUGGGGUAACGGCCCAACAAGCCUGUAAUCGAUACGGGUUGUGGGAGCAAGAGCCCGGAGAUGGAAUCUGAGACACGAUUCCAGGCCCUACGGGGCGCAGCAGGCGCGAAAACUUUACAAUGCAGGAAACUGUGAUAAGGGAACUCCGAGUGCCCGUAUACGCGGGCUGUCCAGGUGUUUAAAAAUCAUCUGAGGAAAGGGCCGGGCAAGACCGGUGCCAGCCGCCGCGGUAAUACCGGCGGCUCGAGUGGUGGCCACUAUUAUUUGGCUUAAAGCGUCCGUAGCUGGACCGAUAAGUCUCUUGGGAAAUCCGCCGGCUCGACCGGCGGGCGUCUAAGGGAUACUGUUAGUCUAGGGACCGGGAGAGGUGAGAGGUACUCCGGGGGUAGGAGUGAAAUCCUGUAAUCCCCGGGGGACCACCGAUGGCGAAGGCAUCUCACCAGAACGGCUCCGACAGUGAGGGACGAAAGCUGGGGGAGCGAACCGGAUUAGAUACCCGGGUAGUCCCAGCCGUAAACUAUGCGCGUUAGGUGU
rnacentral:rRNA from 1 species